UACGGGGGGGGCAAGCGUUGUUCGGAUUUACUGGGCGUAAAGGGCGCGUAGGCGGCGUGACAAGUCACUUGUGAAAUCUCUGAGCUUAACUCAGAACGGCCAAGUGAAACUGUUGUGCUAGAGUGCAGAAGGGGCAAUCGGAAUUCUUGGUGUAGCGGUGAAAUGCGUAGAUAUCAAGAGGAACACCUGAGGUGAAGACGGGUUGCUGGGCUGACACUGACGCUGAGGCGCGAAAGCCAGGGGAGCAAACGGG
rnacentral:rRNA from 1 species